rnacentral:rRNA from 1 species
CCUACGGGUGGCAGCAGUCGAGAAUCAUUCACAAUGGGGGAAACCCUGAUGGUGCGACGCCGCGUGGGGGAAUGAAGGUCUUCGGAUUGUAAACCCCUGUCAUGUGGGAGCAAAUUAAAAAGAUAGUACCACAAGAGGAAGAGACGGCUAACUCUGUGCCAGCAGCCGCGGUAAUACAGAGGUCUCAAGCGUUGUUCGGAAUCACUGGGCGUAAGGCGUGCGUAGGCUGUUUCGUAAGUCGUGUGUGAAAGGCGCGGGCUCAACCCGCGGACGGCACAUGAUACUGCGAGACUAGAGUAAUGGAGGGGGAACCGGAAUUCUCGGGGUAGCAGUGAAAUGCGUAGAUAUCGAGAGGAACACUCGUGGCGAAGGCGGGUUCCUGGACAUUAACUGACGCUGAGGCACGAAGGCCAGGGGAGCGAAAGGGAUUAGAUACCCCGGUAGUC